GAACCGCUUCGGUGGUGGAUUAGUGGCGAACGGGUGAGUAACACGUGGGCAAUCUGCCCUUCACUCUGGGACAAGCCCUGGAAACGGGGUCUAAUACCGGAUAACACUCUGUCCCGCAUGGGACGGGGUUGAAAGCUCCGGCGGUGAAGGAUGAGCCCGCGGCCUAUCAGCUUGUUGGUGGGGUAAUGGCCUACCAAGGCGACGACGGGUAGCCGGCCUGAGAGGGCGACCGGCCACACUGGGACUGAGACACGGCCCAGACUCCUACGGGAGGCAGCAGUGGGGAAUAUUGCACAAUGGGCGAAAGCCUGAUGCAGCGACGCCGCGUGAGGGAUGACGGCCUUCGGGUUGUAAACCUCUUUCAGCAGGGAAGAAGCGAAAGUGACGGUACCUGCAGAAGAAGCGCCGGCUAACUACGUGCCAGCAGCCGCGGUAAUACGUAGGGCGCAAGCGUUGUCCGGAAUUAUUGGGCGUAAAGAGCUCGUACGCGGCUUGUCACGUCGGAUGUGAAAGCCCGGGGC
rnacentral:rRNA from 1 species